rnacentral:rRNA from 1 species
UACGUAGGUGGCAAGCGUUGUCCGGAUUUACUGGGCGUAAAGCGCACGUAGGCGGAUCGUUAAGUCGGGGGUGAAAUCCUGGAGCUCAACUCCAGAACUGCCUUCGAUACUGGCGAUCUUGAGUCCGGAAGAGGUGAGUGGAACUCCUAGUGUAGAGGUGGAAUUCGUAGAUAUUCGGAAGAACACCAGUGGCGAAGGCGGCUCACUGGCCCGGUACUAACGCUGAGGUGCGAAAGCGUGGGGAGCAAACAGG